rnacentral:lncRNA from 1 species
AUGCAGAAUCAUGGUGCUCUGCUGGACUCAAAGCAGAGGCAGGAAGUGGAAGCUCUGCAGGAGAAUUACCAAAAAAAACUUGAGGUAAUGGAUGUUUUCAGAAAAGUUCAUGAAGAACUUGAAAAAACUAUAGAAGACUGUGAAAAUGCCAAAUUGCAGUUUCAAGAAAAUGAAGAAGAAAUGGAGGAAGAUAUUCGUAAUGAUGAAAGAAACUUAGAGACCCACAGGAAAGAAUUUUUCACAAAUGGUAUUUAUAGAAUUUAGAAAUAAAAUUUUAAUUAAAAACAUAAUGCAUCUUACUGUUCAAAGAACUUCAGAUAAAAAGAAGAGAAAGAAUUUAAAUUACCCAUAUCUAUCUUGUCAUCAAGUUUCUUUAAAAAUUAAA